GAUGAACGCUAGCGAUAGGCUUAACACAUGCAAGUCGAGGGGCAGCAUGGUCUUAGCUUGCUAAGACUGAUGGCGACCGGCGCACGGGUGCGUAACGCGUAUGCAACUUGCCUCACAGAGGGGGAUAACCCGUCGAAAGACGGACUAAUACCGCGUACACUCUAUUUUGGGCAUCCAAGGUAGAGGAAAUGAAAUUCGCUGUGAGAUAGGCAUGCGUCCCAUUAGCUAGUUGGUGAGGUAACGGCCCACCAAGGCGACGAUGGGUAGGGGAACUGAGAGGUGGAACCCCCACACUGGUACUGAGACACGGACCAGACGCCUACGGGAGGCAGCAGUGAGGAAGAUAGGUCAAGGGGCGAGAGCCUGAACCAGCCAAGUCGCGUGAAGGAUGACUGUCUUAUGGAUUGUAAACUUCUUUUGUAGGGGAAUAAAGAGGGGCACGUGUGCCCCAGUGAAUGUACCCUACGAAUAAGCAUCGGCUAACUCCGUG
rnacentral:rRNA from 1 species